GCCAGUCAGAUUGGCAGAUCCUCUGGUGUUGACUAACCAGGGGGCUUUUGUUAAAUGUGUAUCUCGAAGUUUGAAGGUUCCACCCCUCAUUGCUCUCAAUGUCGUCUUUAACAGUCCAUAGUAUCGUUUGAUUUUCCUGGAGGCUGGUGCAUGAUAGGGGAUAUGAUAUACCCACUCAAUGCCAUGCUCUCUGGCCCAGGUUUCUAUGAGGUUAUU